UGGGGAAUAUUGCACAAUGGGCGCAAGCCCGAUGCAGCAACGCCGCGUGAACGAUGAAGGUCUUCGGAUCGUAAAGUUCUGUUGCAGGGGAAGAUAAUGACGGUACCCUGUGAGGAAGCCCCGGCUAACUACGUGCCAGCAGCCGCGGUAAUACGUAGGGGGCUAGCGUUAUCCGGAUUUACUGGGCGUAAAGGGUGCGUAGGUGGUCUUUCAAGUCGGUGGUUAAAGGCUACGGCUCAACCGUAGUUAGCCUCCGAAACUGGAAGACUUGAGUGCAGGAGAGGAAAGUGGAAUUCCCAGUGUAGCGGUGAAAUGCGUAGAUAUUGGGAGGAACACCAGUAGCGAAGGCGGCUUUCUGGACUGCAACUGACACUGAGGCACGAAAGCGUGGGUAGCAAACAGG
rnacentral:rRNA from 1 species